GUACAUGAAACAAAACUCUCAGGCCUAGGGUGAACCAUUCAGAGUCACCUGAAGUGUCAUUCUAAAUACAGAGACAUUAAAAUUGUAACGUUAAGGGAUCCAGUUACAAACUCUUGCCAGUGAGAAAGAAAAUAUGCCCCGCUGUGCACCCUCC